rnacentral:miRNA from 1 species
UAACUUGAUAGAUAUAUGCAUC